rnacentral:piRNA from 1 species
UGGAGUCAGUUAGAUAACUACAAACGG